GACGAACGCUGGCGGCGUGCUUAACACAUGCAAGUCGAGCGGAAAGGCCCUUCGGGGUCCUCGAGCGGCGAACGGGUGAGUAACACGUGAGUAACCUGCCCCAGACUUUGGGAUAACCCUCGGAAACGGGGGCUAAUACCGGAUACGACACAGCUUCGCAUGGGGUCUGUGUGGAAAGUUUUUCGGUUUGGGAUGGGCUCGCGGCCUAUCAGCUUGUUGGUGGGGUGAUGGCCUACCAAGGCGACGACGGGUAGCCGGCCUGAGAGGGCGACCGGCCACACUGGGACUGAGACACGGCCCAGACUCCUACGGGAGGCAGCAGUGGGGAAUAUUGCACAAUGGGCGGAAGCCUGAUGCAGCGACGCCGCGUGAGGGAUGACGGCCUUCGGGUUGUAAACCUCUUUCAGCGGGGACGAAGCGUAAGUGACGGUACCUGAAGAAGAAGCGCCGGCCAACUACGUG
rnacentral:rRNA from 1 species